GCACACCGAGUGUCAGCUGCUGCUGCAGCUCCGUGCAUCGUCCCCAUCCCCGCGGCUGGGCCAGCCUUCCCCACCAGGCUCUGCUCACUCCCGCCCGCUGUUUGGCCAUUCGGCUUUUGUCUCCUCUGGACGCCUCCUCCCCUGCCCUUGUGUGCUGGCACACAAAUGCUGUCCUGGCUCCAGCUCUCCCUGCACCCAGAGCUGGGAGAGCUCCGGGGAGCCUGGGCCUGUGGGAUUGCUGUACAGAUCCACCAUGGCCUCUGACGUGGAGAACUGCGGAUCAGCUGAGGCUUUGAUGUUGCUGCCCAGAGCUUGACAGGACACUGGGGCCACAGGAGAGGGGACACGCCGGCCGCCGUCCCCAGUGACCUGACUGCAGAAGAGCGUCAAGAACUGGAGAACAUCCGGCGGAGGAAGCAGGAGCUGCUGGCUGACAUCCAGAGGCUAAAGGAAGAGAUAGCAGAAGUUGCUAAUGAAAUUGAAAGCCUGGGAUCCACAGAGGAAAGGAAAAACAUGCAGAGGAACAAACAGGUAGCCAUGGGCAGAAAGAAAUUUAACAUGGAUCCUAAAAAGGGGAUCCAGUUCUUAAUCGAGAAUGGCCUGCUGAAGAACACUUGUGAGGACAUCGCCCAGUUCCUGUAUAAAGGGGAGGGGCUCAACAAGACAGCCAUCGGCGACUACCUUGGGGAGAGGGAUGAGUUCAGCAUCCAGGUCCUGCAUGCGUUUGUGGAACUGCACGAGUUCACCGACCUGAACCUCGUCCAGGCCUUGCGGCAGUUCCUGUGGAGCUUCCGGCUCCCUGGAGAGGCCCAGAAGAUUGACCGGAUGAUGGAGGCCUUUGCCCAGCGGUACUGUCAGUGCAAUACUGGGGUGUUCCAGUCUACAGACACCUGCUAUGUCCUGUCCUUCGCAAUCAUAAUGCUGAACACCAGCCUACACAACCCCAAUGUCAAAGACAAGCCUACGGUGGAGAGAUUCAUCGCCAUGAACCGAGGCAUCAACGACGGAGGAGACCUGCCGGAGGAGCUGCUCCGGAAUCUCUAUGAGAGCAUCAAAAACGAGCCCUUUAAAAUCCCCGAAGAUGAUGGGAAUGACCUCACACACACUUUCUUCAAUCCAGACCGAGAGGGCUGGCUGCUCAAGCUCGGAGGUAUGUAACCCUGCACCUGCUCGCUCUCUCUGCCAGGCCACUGUCAUUGCUGCAGCGUUUUGUUUUUUUUUAAUUUUGUUAUUUUUGGUUAUUUUGUUUUUUAAUUGCUGGUAGUGUUAAUGCUGCUUCUAACUUACUGUACAGUCCCUAGGGAACUGGCCAGGAUCAGGGGUUUGGGGCAGUGUUCACAGAAGCAGUACUGCAGCUGCCCGGUCAGAGCUCUAAGAACUAACCGCGAGUAGUCAACAAUGCUAGCCCAGAGCCAGCCAAGGAAGGCAGAGGGAGACGUCAGCUGUGUGCUCAUGGCAAUUGCUGGAUUCAAAUUCCCAUCCGUGCAUCAGCCUGAUUUCUGGAGUGAGGGAGCAAAGCAGAGGGUGUUAUCUUGUAACUUCCCAAAGUCACAUGCUUCUGCCACCGUGGUUGACAAAGUUAGGAAAAGAUUGAACAGUUGACAAUAUUGGGCCAUUUGCCUUUCCACGAAAAAGACAAGUAUUGUCUUCUAAACUCACAAGUGGAUAUUUUUAAAACCUCAAAACCAGAAACCCCUACCUAUAGCCCUUUAAUUCCAUUUCUUGGGUAUCAGGGAAGGACUCACAGCCUGGAUCCUCUGUCUGUGUCUCCUCCGGUGUAAACCGUCCUCUGUUACAAAGAGUCAUCCUCAAAACCCAGGUCGGCCUCUGCUUGCCGACGUAGCACAGCCAGAGUGGAGCAAGCAGAGCGCAAACACCGCGUGCUCCUUCAGUGCUGGGACCAGGCGGCUGGACUGCUGGGACAGUGUCGGCCCUCUGUGUAAGGGAGGCCUGAGAAGCCCUGCAGGGGAGGGGUCCUGUGAGUUCCACAGGGACUGUCCUACGCGCACAUUGAUCUGUCUGCUUGUCCCAUGUCUGUUUUUCUUUCCACGUGGAAGUGUUCCCCGUGGGCCCGCAGCGAUGCUUUGUGGUAGAGGGCUCUGUGGUGCAGCCAACCGUCCAGGGGACGUAAGGAAGCUUUGACAGACAGAACUUCCGGGCUUCGCUUUUUCUCCUCCAUUCCUGCCACCUUGUUUCUUUUGGUAUCUAACUCACUCUCUUCAUCAUUUCCUGAGUUCAUUGUCACCUGGGGUAGUCCUGUGACAGAAUGCAUGGGAGGUCAGCAUGGGUGGACCGUCCUUGUGUAUCAAAGCCUGGGUGGGAAAUGGUCUCCCCAAGAGACUAGAAGACAGUUACGCUCAGACUCAGAAGUGAGAAAGGAUCUGCCCUAAGACACAUUGCCUUCAGAUUUGAACACAUUUGUGUAACUCCGCCCAGCCCUCCCUGGUAUCAACAUGCAUGUCAUGUUGUUCCUAUGGCUUUCCCAUUCACGCCACUUAACCAUGAAACUUACAGAAUCCCUCACUACCAUAACCACACACAUGCCACAGCACAUGAUUGCUUGUGGCAUAGUCCAUCUGGGAACCUCGGUCUCAGUCAUGUAGAAUCAUGUAGUUAACGAUGGCUGCUUACAUCUACUUCCCCACCCCUCUAGCUCAGACACCCAGGCAGAGAAGUCCAGGCCCUAACCUGCUCUGCUGGGUUUCCUCCUUCACAGUUCAGAGAUGAGCCUGCAGGCAGAUGCUGGCAUUGGAAAGAGUCUCUGUAAAGAUGCCUGGCCCUGCAUGGCUGUCAGCAACAGGGCAGAGGAGUAGGCAUGGCAGGUGUGCCACUCCCCUGCCUUCCACAGAAACUAGAGAAAAGGUGUUCUCCAUAGUUGGGGCCUAGAAAAGGGGAAGUGCUAAGGAACAGGGACAGAGUGUGUGUGUGUAACUCCACGUGUGUAUCAGCAUGGGAAGGAAGAGGGACAGAGUAUGUGUGUGAGUGUACAAUGCCACAUGUGUACCAGCAUGGGAAGGAACAGGGACAGAGCGUGUGUGCAACGCCAUGUGUGUAUCAGCACGGGAAGGCCCUGGAUAACUCUGAGUAGUUCAUGUCAAGACAGUCUUCCUCGACCUGAGGUAAGUGGAGACCAUGGGGAUCCUGAGCAUGAUGCAAGUGAGGAUGUAGCUUCCUUCAAAGUGGGCCCAGUUAAGCCCCACCACCACCCUUGUCCCCGUACCAAUGCAGAACAGCAUAGAGGGCCUCACGCUCGCUACUUCCUAGCAUGGAGGAGUACUGAGAAAGGCUCUGAGCAGCAGCUAGUCACCACCUCCUUGAUGCCAGAGCUGCCUCUAGUCACUUAGUUUUAAAGAGUCAUGUGAGUCCACAGAAGGAACAGCUCCUGAGCCCCCCUCUUGGACAAGCCAUUCCUUUCCUGGUGAAGGAAUCCUGCUUUGAUUCAUACCCACAAUUCUGGGACAUGACUUUCAGGACACUAACUGAGGGGGCUAGAGUCAGUGUGGAACUUCACUAUAGGCAGGUGGGUGAUGGGAAGCCACAGGUUUGGUUUUAAAGGGCUCACAGUGCCUCACUUUCUGUAUCUUUUCUCCUGUCAUUUCCAUGGAACCCCUGAGGUGCCCAUGCCUCCUGCGUCAGGGUGCUGACCCCUCCUUUCUCCUUUCUUAGCCUGUCUUUGUCACAGGCUGUGGCUGGCUUCUCCAGCCUCAGGUGGCAGGGUAAAGACCUGGAAGAGGCGCUGGUUCAUUCUGACUGACAACUGCCUUUACUACUUUGAAUACACCACGGACAAAGAGCCCCGCGGGAUUAUCCCCCUGGAGAACCUGAGUAUCCGAGAAGUGGAGGACUCCAAAAAGCCGAACUGCUUUGAGCUUUAUAUCCCUGACAAUAAAGACCAGGUGAUUAAGGCCUGUAAGACAGAGGCGGACGGGCGAGUGGUGGAAGGGAACCACACUGUGUACCGCAUCUCAGCCCCAACUCCGGAAGAGAAGGAAGACUGGAUCAAAUGCAUCAAGGCUGCCAUCAGCAGAGACCCUUUCUACGAGAUGCUUGCAGCACGGAAAAAGAAGGUCUCCUCCACAAAGAGACACUGAGGGGGCACCAGGGCAUGGCCAGCCCAUGAGGCUGUGGCCCUUUCUCCUGCCUCCCCUGAGGGCGCUGUGGAGCCAAGCAGAGGAGAGCAGAGGGCUUCUCUGCCAGUUCCUGCCGUUCCGCUCCUAGAGACUUGCUUCAGCUUUUGCAGUUUUCUAAGUGGGAGAAGGGUGGGCGGCGAGGGAUAGGCUGGAGACUGCGGCUGCCCUCAUGGCUCUGGAGUCGCUCUCAGAGCCAGCAGCUGCCAGCAGCUGGUUCACAGCCUCAGCUCAGCAGGGCUGAGGCACCACAGGGAGCUCGCUCUUUACCUCUCAGUGUUCCUGGCCAAGGGCCUUCGCCUCUGCUCCGAGAAUGCCUGUAAGGAUGUACUCUGUGUACUAAGGAGAGAGGGGGAAAGGAAGAGAAGCCACGCACUAUAAAGAUUUAUUUUUGUUUUUUUUAAAGCAAAAGUGAACGUAGCACUGUACUCUGCCCUCCUGUGCCCUGCUUCCCCUAAAAAGGGGGGCCCUGGGGCUGCGGGCACCCCAGGGGCUGCGGGCACUCCAGGGGCCGCUGCCUCAUGACUGUGUGGGCAAGACGGGCAGAAGCAGGACUGCUGGCAGGGCCUAGCAGACACAGGAGGCCUCAGGGCCCCAGCAGGGCAGCAGGCAGGCAGUAUGGGCAGCUCCCACCCAGUGCCUGGGGGACAGAGUGAAGGUGGUUAAUCCCUUGCUGGCCCUCAGUGCCCAGGCCCACUGCUCUUUAAAGUGGAAAGUCUGCAUUUUCCUAAUAACCAAAACUGUGAGGAGCUCACCCAUGGUGCUGGGUGGCGACUGUUUCAUAGCUGGUUUUUCUUUCUCCUCCCCAAGAGCUCCACUCCUCGUUCUAGAGGAAGGAGCAGGUCUUACCUGAUCCCCUUGGGGCUUCAGCCUUUUCUGCCUCAAAAGCCGCCCCUAUUCUGGACUAUUCUGGUGCACUCUGUGGUAGCCUCCAGGAGCAGGGGCCUUUCUCAGCAGGUUGCAGUGCAGUCAGGCAAGGGUAAGGUGGCCUUUUUGUCCCCUGCCCUCUAUGGCAUGGCAUACCACAGCACACAUGUGAGUGAACCCUGGCCUCCUAACUCAGUGAGAAGGGAGCCAUGAAACGCAGCAUCUCCUGCCGUUCUCUCAGGGACUCUCAAGGGCAGCUCCUGUUCCUUGGCCAGGGCUAGCAUGCCAGUCUAGGCAGAGCAGGUGGCAGGCGGUGUCUUGGCACACUCCUCCACGUGGCCAAGGCCUUGGUGGCAGAAUGCUGCCUCCAGGCAGGUGGAGGAGCCAUGGGUCCCCGCUGGGCUGUGUGAGCUCAGCCUCUCUGAUCUCAGAAGGAGGUCAACAUCUCUGGAAAUAGCUUUGCAGAGAAGGGUGGGUGUAGGGGGCGGCACUCGCCCCUCCUGGGGAUACAGCAGGAUCCGGCCUCAAGAGGCUUCAGGUGCUUGACACUCGAGUGUGAAGGUGACAGUGACUGCUAAGGGUCCAGGCUGGAAACCUGAGCCUCCUGCCGCAGAACCAGUCAAUGCCUGCCCAGGUUGUGUGGGGAGUCAGGCAAGUGCAGAGCCCUCCCUUCACACCGGUUCUCACAGGUGUGUCCUGGGCAGGCCAGCACCUGGCUCAGUGUCAGUCUAUUUAUCAGAGGUGUAAAUAAUCCACACAUAGUUUUUCUCCUUUUAGAUUAUUUUGUAUUUGUUUAAAAAAUAUUUGUCAAAAUACAAAGAAAUGACUGAAACUUGUUGACAGGGUUUUUAAAAAUAUUAUUAUUAUUAUUAUUGUUUUGUUUUUGCCUUGUAAACUAGCUCCAAGGAACUGCAGCAAAUAAACUCCAAAUCUGCCCACAUCA